GACGAACGCUGGCGGCGUGCUUAACACAUGCAAGUCGAGCGGAGACAGAAGACUUCGGUUUUCUGUUUUAGCGGCGGACGGGUGAGUAACGCGUGAGCAAUCUGUCCCAGACAGGGGGAUAACACUUGGAAACAGGUGCUAAUACCGCAUAAGACCACGAGAUCACAUGGUUUCGGGGUAAAAGGAGGAAUCCGGUUUGGGGUGAGCUCGCGUCCGAUUAGCUGGUUGGUGAGGUAACGGCCCACCAAGGCGACGAUCGGUAGCCGACCUGAGAGGGUGAUCGGCCACAUUGGAACUGAGAAACGGUCCAAACUCC
rnacentral:rRNA from 1 species